rnacentral:rRNA from 1 species
AAAUUGAAGAGUUUGAUCAUGGCUCAGAUUGAACGCUGGCGGCAGGCCUAACACAUGCAAGUCGAACGGUAACAGGAAGAAGCUUGCUUCUUCGCUGACGAGUGGCGGACGGGUGAGUAAUGUCUGGGAAACUGCCUGAUGGAGGGGGAUAACUACUGGAAACGGUAGCUAAUACCGCAUAAUGUCGCAAGACCAAAGAGGGGGACCUUCGGGCCUCUUGCCAUCGGAUGUGCCCAGAUGGGAUUAGCUUGUUGGUGGGGUAACGGCUCACCAAGGCGACGAUCCCUAGCUGGUCUGAGAGGAUGACCAGCCACACUGGAACUGAGACACGGUCCAGACUCCUACGGGAGGCAGCAGUGGGGAAUAUUGCACAAUGGGCGCAAGCCUGAUGCAGCCAUGC